rnacentral:rRNA from 1 species
AGCGAGCGCUGGCGGCAGGCCUAACACAUGCAAGUCGAACGAACUCUUCGGAGUUAGUGGCGGACGGGUGAGUAACACGUGGGAACGUGCCUUUAGGUUCGGAAUAACUCAGGGAAACUUGUGCUAAUACCGAAUGUGCCCUUCGGGGGAAAGAUUUAUCGCCUUUAGAGCGGCCCGCGUCUGAUUAGCUAGUUGGUGAGGUAAAGGCUCACCAAGGCGACGAUCAGUAGCUGGUCUGAGAGGAUGAUCAGCCACAUUGGGACUGAGACACGGCCCAAACUCCUACGGGAGGCAGCAGUGGGGAAUCUUGCGCAAUGGGCGAAAGCCUGACGCAGCCAUGCCGCGUGAAUGAUGAAGGUCUUAGGAUUGUAAAAUUCUUUCACCGGGGACGAUAAUGACGGUACCCGGAGAAGAAGCCCCGGCUAACUUCGUG